CCUACGGGAGGCAGCAGUGGGGGAUAUUGGACAAUGGGGGAAACUCUGAUGCAGCGAUGCCGCGUGAGUGAAGAAGUAUUUCGGUAUGUAAAGCUCUAUCAGCAGGGAAGAAAAUGACAGUACUUGACCAAGAAUCCGCGGCUAACUACUUGCCAGCAGCCGCGGUAAUACGUAGGGGGCAAGCGUUAUCCGGAAUAACUGGGUGUAAUGGGAGCGUAGUCGGUUUUGUAAGUCUGGAGUGAAAGCCCGGGGCCCAACCCCGGGACGGCUGUUGAGACUGUCGAACUGGAGUACAGGAGGGGCAGGCGGAAUUCCUGGUGUAGCGGUGAAAUGCGUAGAUAUCAGGAGGAACACCGGCGGCGAAGGCGGCCUGCUGGACUGAAACUGACGUUGAGGCUCGAAAGCGUGGGGAGCAAACAGGAUUAGAUACCCUAGUAGUC
rnacentral:rRNA from 1 species